AAGGUUUCUAAACUUUGAUUUUUGAUAUUGAACAAGUUAUUCUUGUAUUUAACUUGUUGUUUAGCAUGCCCAAAUAUAUUUGAAUAGUUUUAUCGUUCAUAUUGCCAUGCAUGCUUAGUAUUCAAUUCUAAAUAACCUUGGCUUAAUAUUGUUCAAGCAAGGUGUAUUAUAGUUAUUCAAGUUGUAUGCUAUUAGAUUAUUCCUAAAGCAUGAAUUUAAUUUACCAUGUUGAUUCAGUUACAAUUAUUCUAUAGUAUGAUGUUAUUGGUUUCAUUCAACUAAUCCUUAGUUGAUGUUCAUUGAAUUCCAAAUUACCCUGAAAUGUAUCCAAACCAAACUCACUUUGGUGCGGACUUCUACUCUAAAUACUGAGAUGAACAACCCUAUUAUUAGGGGAAACUUACGCUUAGCAUUGAAAUGUUUGUGCACAAUACAUUGUACGAAGGGCUGAUCCCCCUAAAUACGAGGAGUUCCUAUAGUCUUAUGACUGUUAAAGUUUAAGUUGAAACAUUACUUAUAAUUAUGGACAUAGUUCGUGGUCUUAGGACCCUCAGUUAUUUACUUCAGAUUGUUGACAAAUCGUAAUUGUUUAAAUCUAUUAAGCCUCUUAGUUAACAUUUGUUGUAAAGGUUUUUCAUUCAUUAUUGUAUCAAGUGAGCUUUGUUUGCUCACUCUUGUUUAUAUAAUUAUUACAAUUAAGGAUGAGAAGGUUAAUGUACCUAGCACCAGCAAGGGAAAAGGAAAGAUGAACAAGUAUUGAAGACUUGUAAUUUGAUGAUAUUUUAUUAUCAGUUUUUAAUGGAAUGGUUGUAAUAAAGAUUUUUUUUUCCGCAUUUGAAUGAUUGUGUUUAAAGGUUAGACAACCUGGGAGAUUUUUUUUAUGUAACCCUUUAAGGGGAAGGUUUUAUUUAUCCAGUUUUACUGUGAUUGGGUAGUUAGAUAUGAAUGUUUGAUUAAGUGAACACCAAAUCCUAUGGAAAUGAAGUACCUGGGUUUGGGGGUGUCACAAGUUGGUAUCAAAGCCUUAGGUUAUGAACCUUAGGUGGGGGAAAAGGCUUAGGAAGUAACCUUCGAAAAGAUAGUGAUGAUGAACUCUUAUCGAGUUUUAAGAAAGAAGUAAUAAAACACUUAUGUGCUUAUGUGUUUACAACUUAUGUGCUCAUGAGUGUCGAGUAGUAAUGAUUAGUAAUUAAAACUUAAACUUUGGUUGACAAGAUGUCUAAUAUAGGAGGAUCCAGUCAAACUAGGGAAGAAGAGCCUCGAGAUAUUCAGGUAGUUUGGGAACAAUUAUGGCCAUGGGAAACAGUUCCGUUGGUCACAGUAGUUAAGUAGGAGAGAGUACCUGAUGAGGAUGAUGAGAUAGAGAAUGAUGAGGAAGAUCCCUUGGAGCUGCCACAGACGGAUGAAGAGGACGAGGAGGAAAGGAUUCCAUUUAACUUAAUAGCUGGCCGUAUAUACGAUGAGGUGCAUGAUCGUAACGUGGAACUUCAAGAUACUGUUGAGGAAUUGCAAGAGAUAGUAGCUGAACAACAAAACUCAAUGGCACAGAAGGACGACGAGAUCCAGGAUCGAGAAGAACGACUGAACAAUGUUGAAGAGAAACUGGUUCACACUAAAGAAGAAAACGACCAAAUGAGAGCAGAGAUUGUAGAGUUGAAGAGCAAGUUGAGAGAAGAGUUUGCAAAAAGGGAAAGAGCCGAAGACGCAUAUGAGGAAGCUGAUCAACGAGCCGAAAUAGCAGAGGGAGACACACAAGCAAAGAGAAUGAAGACGCAGGAAAUGGAUAACGUAUUCAACAUCGCGAUCAAUCAAGCUCAGGAUCGGGUUAUAGGUUACCCAAUUCAGUUCGAGACGCUACCCUCGUACAUACUAGAUCGUCGAACCAUGUUCUGAAUUAUGGAAGAAGAGCGUCGUAAGGCUUUGCAGUAUCUUAAUAGGACAUCGUAGGAAGUGUACUUGAUUUAUGAUUUAUGUUAUGAUAAGUAUUAUGUAAAUCCCCAGUGUUAUGUAACUUGUGGAUAUGAUGAUGAUGUCCUGAAACUUUAGUAGUUCAGGAAAAUAAUGUAAAUAGCAGUGAUGUUAUUGUUUUGAUGUUUUCAAAGAAUUAAGAAUGAAUAAAAGUUAUUAUCUUCUUUUAUCCAAAGUGUUAUGUGUUAUGUGGUGAUUACUUUUUUGGGGGCAAGUUAAUUAGAAAUUACUUGAAAGAGUUGAGUAAUAAUCUAAUGAGUGUAUUUUUAGCAUAAAAUGCCUCCAAGAUGUCAACCACCCCGUCAGAGAACCACCGAAGGAACCAACAAUGAUAAUGUUGAAGCUAACCCUGUUUAGCAGCUGGUGACGUUGUUGACAGGUGCACUACAGAAUCAAUCGCAAAAUCAACCUCAGAACCAAGGUGCUACGUUUAAGGACUUCAAGGCGGUUGGACCACCAGAAUUCCGUGGAUCCAUGAAUCCAGUUGAAGCACAAACCUGGAUCAUGGAAAUUGAGAAGGUUUUUGAUGUUGCUAGGGUAGAGGAUAACAAAAAGACUGCUUUUGCAAUAUUCAUGUUGAAAGCAGAGGCUAGUUAUUGGUGGCAGGCCAAUAAAACUCGGGAAGGACCAGGAAUUAUGACUUGGGAAAGGUUUAAGGAGAUUUUCUUCGAGACCUAUUUCCCAGAGAGUUCGAAAAGCCAGUUAGAAGUACAGGUUUUAGAACUGAAAUAAGGAACGAUGACGAUGUCAGAGUAUGCCGCGAAAUUCAACGAGUUUGAGAGGUUUGCGCCAUACCAAGUCAGCACAGAUGAACGUAAGGCAAAGAGAUUUGAACAGGGACUGAAGCCCUGGUUGUUUAGUAGGGUUUCCUUGUUCUAGCUGAAGACGUUUGCAGCUGUGAUGGAAAAGGCAAGGCUGUAACCAAGUUUAACCAGGAACCAAAAAAGAAGAAGAAUGAAGUGGAGGUUAAGAAUGGAAGUGGUGGUAAUGGAAAUAAUAAUCUGAAAAGAAAGUGGAAUGGAAAUGUGGGUACUGGGAAUCAACAAGGGAGCCAGCAGAGUAAGAAUUUUGAAGCAUAUGCUACAUGUGGGAAGUUUCACAAGGGUGUAUGCUUAAUGGGGAAACGUGUAUGCUUUAACUGUGGCCAGGAGGGUCACAUCGCCCCAAAUUGCAAUCAACCUAAGAAGAAUGUUUGCUACACUUACGGGUCCAAGGAUCACUUUGCUCGUGAAUUCCCUAAGAAGAGAUCUGGUGAGGCAAAUGGAAAUAAGGGAAGUGUUAGUGGAGGUGCGCUGACUAUUGCUGGGCCAGCAUCAACCAAUAAGCCCAUAGCCAGAACCUUCAACAUGACUGUGCAAGAUGUUGUGCAAUCAAAGGAUGUGGUGUUAGGUAUUAUCCCAAUCAAUGAUAUUGAUGCUUAUAUAUUAUUUGAUUCGGGUGCUACUUGCUCAUUUAUAUCUUAUGAAUUUGCUAUGAGAUUAGGAUUGCCUAGUGAAGAAUUGAAUUUCCCUUUAAACAUAGAAAUUGCUAAUAAGGAAGUAAUUCAUGUUAGGUUCGUAUACAAGAACUGUAGGGUGAAUAUUAAGGGAAAUAUUUUGAUGGUAGAUUUAAUUCCGAUUAGGCUUGGAGAGUUUGAUGUUAUUUUGGGAAUGGAUUGGUUGUUCAAUUGUGGAGCGAUAAUUGACUACCAAAAGAAAUGUGUAAACCUUAUGACUCCGUCAAAGGUAGUUUUCAAUGGUAGCAAAUUGCCUAGACAAAUGAGAUGUCUGACGAUUAUGCAGGCCAAGAAAUUGUUGAGUCAAGGCUGUGUGGGUUAUUUAGCUUACAUAGUCGAUACUCAGAAGAAAGGUGCGAAACUAGAAGAAAUAACCAGUGGUUAGGGAAUUUGUGGAUGUGUUUCUGGAGGAUUUGCUUGGACUUCCACCUGACAGAGAAAUUGAGUUUGUGAUUGACUUAACGCCAGGAACCGCUCCGAUAUCGAAAGCCCCAUACAGAAUGGCUCCAGUAGAGAUGAAGGAAUUGAUGGUACAACUGUAGGAGUUGUUGGACAAGAAAUACAUUCAGCCGAGUGUGUCACCGUGGAGAGCACCGGUGUUAUUCGUAAAGAAGAAGGAUGGGUUAAUGCGUCUUUGCAUUGAUUAUAGGGAGUUAAACAAAGUCACUAUUAAGAAUAAAUAUCCAUUGCCGAGAAUAGAUGACUUGUUUGAUCAAUUGAAGGGUACUAGAUAUUUCUCAAAGAUAAAUUUGAGAAGUGGGUAUCACCAAUUGAAGGUAAGAAAGGAGGAUGUACUGAAGACUGCAUUCUGAACUCGGUAUGGACAUUACGAGUUUUUGGUGACGUCUUUUGGUUUGAUAAACGCCCCUGCAGCGUUCAUGGAUUUGAUGAACAGGGUGUUUAAACCAUUUUUAGACAAGUUUAUGGUGGUGUUUAUUGACGAUAUUCUGGUGUACUCUAGAAAUUAAGAAGAACACAUGGAACACUUAUGUUUAACGCUGGAGACACUAAGAAAGGAAAAGUUGUAUGCAAAAUUCUCUAAAUGCGAAUUCUGGUUAGAACGUGUACAAUUUCUUGGGCACGUAAUCGACAAGGAUGGAAUUUCAGUGGAUCCAUCAAAAGUCGAAGCUGUGAUAAAUUAGGAACAACCAAGAACUCCAUCAGAAGUAAGAAGUUUCUUGGGAUUGGCAGGGUAUUAUAGAUGGUUUAUUCAGGAUUUCUCCAAGAUUGCCACUCCGUUGACAAAUUUGACGAGGAAAUCUGUAAAAUUUGUUUGGACGGAGAAGUGUGAAGGAAGUUUCCAGGAAUUGAAAAAGAAGCUAAGUAUGGCACCUGUGUUAUCAUUACCAUAUAAUACAGGAAAUUUUGUGGUGUACAGUGAUGCUUCACACAAAGGAUUAGGAUGUGUCCUUAUGCAGAACGGGAAAGUCAUCGCGUAUGCAUCAAGGCAAUUGAAAGACUACCAUAAAGGGUAUCCGACUCAUGAUUUAGAGUUGGCGGCAGUUGUGUUCACACUGAAGAUAUGGAGACACUAUCUCUAUGGAGAGAAAUGUGAGAUUUACACGGACCAUAAAAGUCUGAAGUAUAUUUUCACUCAAAAAGACCUAAACAUGCGUCAAAGUAGAUGGAUGGAAUUGAUAAAAGAUUACGAUUGCGAGAUCUUUUAUCAUCCAGGCAAAGCAAACGUGGUUGCAGAUGCCUUGAGUAGGAAAGGCAGGGAAAAGUUAAUGUUGUUAACUGAUAAGGAGGAGCUUAUUACAGCAAUGUCAAGGUUAGAGUUGGAAAUCAAAUUUCCAAAAGAAUUCGAUGAAAAAUUAUACCAGAUGGAAGCCAGUCGAACUUUGGUGGACAAAGUGAAGAACGCUCAACUACAGGAUGAGGAAUGCAGAAAAAUAAGAGAAAGUGUGGUCGAGGGAAAGGAAGUGAAGUACAAGGUUGAUACUGAUGGAAUGCUGAGAUUCGAGGGACGAAUCUGGGUUCCAGUAGUACCAGACAUUAAAGAGGACAUCUUGACAGAAGCUCAUAGUUCAAGAUAUUUGAUUCAUUCAGGAAGUACGAAAAUGUAUCAAGAUUUGCGGCGACAUUUUUGGUGGCCAAAUAUGAAAAGAGACGUUGCAGAAUGCGUUGCAAAGUGCUUGACAUGUCAGAGAGUCAAGGCCGAGCAUCAAAGAUCAAGCGGAUUACUUCAACCAUUAGAGAUACCAGAAUGGAAAUGGAAACAUAUCACAAUGGAUUUUGUGGUAGGUCUCCCAUCGACUCAUAAAGGAUACGAUGCAAUUUGGGUGAUAGUGGACAGAUUGACAAAAUCUGCACACUUUUUGCCAAUAAAGAUUAAAUUCAAUCUUGAUCAGCUGGCAAAACUAUAUGUUAAAGAAAUCGUGACGAGACAUGGAGUUCCAGUGUCGAUUGUGUCAGAUAGAGAUCCGAGGUUCACAUCAAACUUCUGGAAGAGACUAUAAGAAUAUAUGGGAACACAAUUGCGAAUAAGUACGGCAUAUCAUCCGCAAACAGAUGGCCAAAGCGAACGAACGAUUCAGACAUUAGAAGAUAUGGUGAGAGCAUGCGUCAUGGAUUUCAAAGGAAGCUGGGAUGAACAAUUACCAUUGGUGGAAUUUGCCUACAAUAACAGUUACCACGCUAGCAUCGGCAUGCCGCCUUACAAAGCAUUAUACGGCAGGAGGUGCAGAACUCCACUGUGCUGGGAUGAAGUCGGUGAACGUCAACUGUUAGGACCAGAACUGGUACAACAAACUGCUGAGGUUGUUAAACUCAUCAGAACAAGAUUGAUAGCUGCUCAAGACAGACAAAAGAAAAAUGUUGAUCAACACAGACAAGAUCGUGCAUUCGACGUAGAAAAUUACGUUUUUAUAAAAGUUUUACCUUGGAAGGGAAAAAUUCGAUUUGGUAAAAAGGGAAAAUUAAGCCCGAGAUUUAUUGGACCCUUCGAAGUGCUACAAAAAGUUGGAGAGGUGGCUAGCUUACGAGGUAGCUCUACCUCCAGAAUUGCAAAACAUUCAUAAUGUUUUUCACGUUUCAGUGUUACGACCAUAUAAGUCUGAUUACAAGCACGUGAUCGAGUAUGAACCAUUGCAGUUUGAGAAAGACUUGUCCUAUGAAGAGGUUCCUAUCCAGAUAGUUGACAGGAAAGAACAAGUGCUCAGAAAUAAAGUGAUACCUUCUGUGAAGGUAAUAUGGAGGAACCACAAUGUCGAAGAGGCUACAUGGGAACUCGAAGCUGAAAUGAUGAAGAAUUACCUUGAGUUAUUUGUUUAAUCUAUGUCUUCGAUUCUGGGGACAGAAUAUUUGUAAGUAGGGGAGAAUGUGACGAAUGAAUUGUUUGAAUUGUAAUUCUAGGGAUAGAAUCCUUGUAAGGAGGGAAUGAUGUAACAUUCCAGAAUUUUAAUUGUUAUAUUAUAUAUUUAUUGAAUUAUUUAAGUAUUUAAUGGAUGUGUUUAUGGUUGAAUUUAUAAUUAUUCAAAUUUGAUUCAAUUUGGUUAACUAUAUGUUAAAUAAAUAAUUAAGGAAAUUAUUAUAUUUGCUAAUUUAAUUUAAUUAUUAAGUUAGAGAGUUUUGAUUAAUUAAAUUAUUAUUCUUUUUAUUUGAAUUUUGUAAUUAAAAGGAUGUGUUAGUUGGUUAAAUAAAGUUAUAAUUAUAUAGAAAAUUAUAAUUUUAUGGUAUUGAUUUAUGUGAUGUAGUAAUUUAAUAAAUUGUUAUUAAGAUUAAUUUAAUUUAGUAAAUGUGUGACAAAUAACCUUUUAUAAAGGAGUUAUUAAAAUAACUUAAAGGAGUUUUAAUUCAGUUUUGCCAAACAAGGCCUAAUGUCUUUUAAGUCUUUAAUCUAAUUGUGUUUUACCAAACAAGGCGUAAGGAUUAAUUGAUUAUUUUUGUUAGUGGUUAGCCAAAUAAGCCUUAUGACUUUUGGUUUUCAAAAUAAAAUAACUGAUAUCAGUUAAAUUAGAGUUAUAUUAUAUAAUUAAUAUAUAUUAUAUCCUAUAUACGUUAGAUUGUUAGUACGUAGUUAGAGUUAGGAAGAAAAGAGAAAAACUCAGAGGAAGAAGAAGGAAGAAGAAGAAGAAAAGAAUAAAAGAAGAAAGGCUAGGAGAUUGGAGAAAGAAGUUUGAGAAUUAAAGAUAUAGCCAUCAUCAUCAUCAUCAUCUUCUUCAAGGUAUUAACCUAUUCUUUUAGUUUUAAAAUUUUAGUUUCUCUCUUCCCAAAUUCUCUAUAGAAUCCUUGUGUAAGGGUAAAUUAGUUGUUAUGUAUGCGAUUUUAUAUGAUAAUCUAGUGAGUUAAACUAUUUUCUUAAGCUAUGAUUGAGAAUAGUCCAUGAAUUUAUAUUAUGUAUAUGUUUGUGAAGAAAAGUAUUUUUACAGAGAGUUUUUGUGAUUAUAUAUUGUUUAGUUAAAAUAGAAAUUAUUGGUUGUUUAGUUGUUUUAUUUAUAAAUUGGCUAUUCAAUUUGUUAGAGUAUGUAUAUACUUUGAUAAAAUGCUUUAAAUUAACUGUUUUGGUUGAAAAACAAAAUCACAGUAUUGAUUUUCAUCAAAAACAUCAAAAAGUGAUUUUUUUAUCAAAAAUAGUGAAAUUGGAUGUUUUAAACUUGUUGUUUAUGUUGUUGUAUGGAUAGAAACAUGUUAGGAAUUCUUCAAUUAGGUUUACAUGAAGUCUUUGUAUGAUUUACAUGUGAAUUCGGCUGUUAAAAAGGAACUUUUAGGCCAAAAUUGGCUUUUUCUUAUACUUGUUGUUUAAUCUCACGCUGCAGCGCUGGCGCCACGCCACAGCACGACCUUUUAGUUUUAUUUUCGCGCCGAUGCGCCAUCUCCGCGCCGCAGUGCCGCACUACAGUAUAAACUGUGGCGCCGCAGCGCGAGUUAGCAGAAUGGUCUGACAGUGUAUUUUUUUUAUGUACUCAAAUGUUAAGAAAUUGUUAUGUGAUGAUAGUAGGACUAUAAAAUAUUGAUGUCAGUAUUUCUAUACUAUGAAUAACUAUGUUAUUAACAAUUGACUUGUGUUAUAACUUGAUUAUAUGAUUAAAUAAUCAAACCUAUAUAAUGUAUGUAGUUAGUUAAAUUUGUAAAGUAGUAGUGACUAACUAUGUCAUGAUGACAUAUAUAUAUAUAUAUAUAUAUAUAUAGGGUAUUGUGAUCCGAAUUGAUUCGGUUUAGCCUACGCGCAAGACAAGUUUUCUAAUCCUUUAUCUUGUUGAACUAAUUAUGGUUUCCAAUUCGAUUAUCUUAUAAAUGAUGCAAGUUCUCUAAUCUAUUUUAAUGUUGAAUCAAUUAUUGUUCCCAAUAUAAUAAUGCAAGGUUUUUAAACUUUGAUUUUUGAUAUUUAACAAGUUAUUCUUGUAUUUAACUUGUUGUUUAGCAUGCCCAAGUAUAUUUGAAUAGUUUUAUCGUUCAUAUUACCAUGCAUGCUUAGUAUUCAAUUCUAAAUAACCUUGGCUUAAUAUUGUUCAAGCAAGGUGUAUUAUAGUUAUUCAAGUUGUAUGCUAUUAGAUUAUUCCUAAAGCAUGACUUUAAUUUACCAUGUUGAUUCAGUUACGAUUAUUCUAUAGUAUGAUGUUAUUGGUUUCAUUCAACUAAUCCUUAGUUGAUGUUCAUUGAAUUCCAAAUUACCCUGAAAUGUAUCCAAACCAAACUCACUUUGGUGCGGACUUGUACUCUAAAUACUGAGAUGAACAACCCUAUUAUUAGGGGUAACUUACGCUUAGCGUUGAAAUGUUUGUGCACAAUACAUUGUACGAAGGGCUGAUCCCCCUAAGUACGAGGAGUCCCU
rnacentral:lncRNA from 1 species